UACUCAAGACGGCCAGUGACACACUAAC
rnacentral:piRNA from 1 species